rnacentral:lncRNA from 1 species
CCUGUCUUGGAUGGGAUCAGAUACCCAGGCCUGGACCACACACCACUGGGCUGGUCUGAGAACCAAGGGUCUUCCUGUGAAACAGCUGGGAUCUCUGCAACCCACACAGAUGCUGGGGAAACCAUCCCAGGAGGCCUGGCUGAUAUCAGAGGUGUCUAUGAUUCCUUCUGGGUUCUCAUGUGGAAUGGACAGUGUCUCAUUCUCAGGGGCAACAAUGGACUUUGCUGGUAGUUGGUGAUCGCAGAAUGAGGUAAGUGUUCAACACCAUAGAUUAUGAUGCCGCAGAGGAAUCUCAUGCGGUCUGUGGAACGUUCAACUUGGGUUCACACAGCAAAGCAUAACCUAUGGGGGCUCGAUUCUCCUUUUGGGGCACUAUGUCUGCACAGGGUACACAGGGGAAGUAGAAAAAGCAUUUCCUCAGUCCAAGUGAGGACAUGGACCCCAGUAUCCCACUGCUACAUGAACCAUGUGGCAUCUGCCUCCUCCUCGGGGUAGAUCAGGCCUUCAAUGAAGAAGGUUCCUGCCUCGUGAAUACUCAAAAAAAUGACUCUACUGUGGAAAAUAUGAACAUGCCUGUGUCCCAGAUCAUCCCACCACUACCCCCUUCAUCUGUAGAAUCACCCAGAGCUCCACACCCCGACUGGACCUGCAGAAUCCUCUUCAUGGUGGCAGCUUCAACAGUGCUGCCUGGACCCUACCUGACACACUAUCAUCUCCCACAGCCAUGGCUUACACUGGCUCGCUCCUGGUGCUGAGGAAUGAAGAAGUUAUAUGAGGAAGUGGCCAAGUGCCCGUGGCCCCACCUUUCCUACUCCUGAUCCACUGCCCGAGCAUCCCCAAGUGGGCAUGGGCAGCUGAAAGCUCUCAGCUGGGACAAGUUUCAGGAAUGUUAGUAAACAAAUUUACUGGAAAACAGAAAUGUAAGCAGUACAUCAAAAUGAGUAUACAUGGGAGGAGAGACAGCCAGAGUUAUCAGAGUGUAGUGACUCCUGGGACUUCGAGAGAAACAGACUGAGAAUCGAUGUCAAGAGGUCUUCGGAAGAGACUUGUAGAUGGAUAUCUUGGAGUGGUUGACCAAGAUGAAGGUACUGUGACUCCCUGGAUGCCCCCUAAGUGAUCACCUCAGGAAGAAGACUUGAAUAAGUGGACAGCAUGACCCCUUGCACAUAUGUGGAUUCUAGUAGGUCCAUGAAGACAGGGCUCAGGGUUGAAGGAUGAACCCUCCACGUACAUGAACUGUACAACAUCAAUACCCUG